UACGGGGGGGGCAAGCGUUGUUCGGAAUUACUGGGCGUAAAGGGUUUGUAGGUGGCUUGUUAAGUCUGACGUGAAAUCCCUCAGCUUAACUGGGGAACUGCGUCUGAUACUGGCGAGCUUGAGUGCAGGAGAGGAACGCGGAAUUCCAGGUGUAGCGGUGAAAUGCGUAGAUAUCUGGAGGAACACCGGUGGCGAAGGCGGCGUUCUGGACUGAAACUGACACUGAGAAACGAAAGCCAGGGUAGCAAACGGG
rnacentral:rRNA from 1 species